UGAUAUUGCAUUCAAUUGGAAUUGUAUUCUAAGAAGCGUCUGUUUAUACAAACACAAGAUACUGCUAACAUAGAUAUCUAUGUAUAGUCUCUGGUAUCUGUUCAGUGGUAUGUAACCAAACAACGAUUGUAAGAUCACAAUGUACCUAUUAGAUGAAUAAUUAUCAUCUAAUGCAACGAUAGCACGACUUCUUCAUUGUCUCUACUAUGUAGUCUACGAAAUAGAACUAGUCUUGAAUAUGAGGCUACAUG